rnacentral:rRNA from 1 species
UACGUAGGAGGCGAGCGUUGUCCGGAGUUACUGGGCGUAAAGGGCGCGUAGGCGGGCAUUCAAGUCGGUGGUGAAAUCCUCCAGCUUAACUGGAGAAGAGCUGUCGAUGCUGGAUGUCUCGAGGGGUGCGGGGGUCUGCGGAACUUCGGGUGGAGCGGUGAAAUGCGUAGAGAUCCGAAGGAACGCCGGUGGCGAAAGCGGCGGACUGGGCACCUUCUGACGCUGAGGCGCGAAAGCCAGGGGAGCAAACGGG